AUCUGCUCAAUGAUACAUUUCAAUAGCCGCAACUUUGUUGUGCUAAGGUAGCAUAAUCAUUUGUCUUUUAAUUAAAGACUAGAACGAAAGAUUUAACAUUUUAAUUUCUAUCUAAAAUAUACUAUUCUUAAAUUUUCUUAAAUAUAAAAAGAUAUUUAUACAAAAAAAAGACGAUAAGACCCUAUUGAACUUAACUGAAGUUUAACUGGGGCAGUUAAUUAAAUAAAAUUUUAAUUUAAAUAAUUAACAAUCAAACCUAGUACAAUUAAAUUAUAAUCAAGUUACCAUAGGGAUAACAGCGUAAUAAUUUUCUUAAGAUCUCAUUUAAAAAAUAGUUUGCGACCUCGAUGUUGAAUUAAUUACCUGAUAAAUGCAAUAAUUUAAAUAAGGAAGUCUGUUCGACUUUUAAUUAAUUNC
rnacentral:rRNA from 1 species